ACCUUGAACCUAUGUCCUCUGAUUCUCAAUCCCCCUGCUCUGGACAAGGGACUCUGUGUGUCUAC